rnacentral:rRNA from 1 species
CCCUUUUCCGGUGGAACCAACAGGACAAGGAUACUAUGGGAUAGGUAAUAAAGCCAUGCGAGUCGUUGUAGCAAUACAAGGGGGACGGCUCAGUAACACGUAGUCAACCUAACCUAUGGACGUGGAUAACCUCGGGAAACUGAGAAUAAACCGCGAUAGAUCAUUAUGCCUGGAAUGGCUUAUGGUUCAAACAAUUUAUUGCCGUAGGAUGGGACUGCGGCCUAUCAGCUUGUUGGUGAGGUAAUGGCCCACCAAGGCUAUAACAGGUACGGGCUCUGAGAGGAGAAGCCCGGAGAUGGGUACUGAGACACGGACCCAGGCCCUAUGGGGCGCAGCAGGCGAGAAACCUUAGCAAUGUGCGAAAGCACGACUAGGUUAAUCCGAGUGAUUUCUGUUGAAGAAAUCUUUUGUCAGUCAUAAAACCACAGACGAAUAAGGGGUGGGCAAGUCUGGUGUCAGCCGCCGCGGUAAUACCAGCACCUCGAGUGGUCAGGAGGUUUAUUGGGCCUAAAGCAUCCGUAGCCGGCUACGCAAGUCUCCGGUUAAAUCCAGCUGCUCAACAGAUGGGCUGCCGGAGAUACUACAUAGCUAGGGAGCGGGAGAGGCAGACGGUAUUCUGUGGGUAGGGGUAAAAUCCUUUGAUCCAUAGAGGACCACCAGUGGCGAAGGCGGUCUGCCAGAACGCGUUCGACGGUGAGGGAUGAAAGCUGGGGGAGCAAACCGGAUUAGAUACCCGGGUAGUCCCAGCUGUAAACGAUGCAAACUCGGUGAUGCAUUGGCUUAUGGCCAAUGCCUUGCCCCCAGCGAAAACGUUUAGCUUGCCGCCUGGGACGUCACGGCCCCAAUUCUGAAAUUUAAUGGAAUUGUGGGGGAAGAC